AUUGAACGCUGGCGGCAGGCCUAACACAUGCAAGUCGAACGAGUGGCGGACGGGUGAGUAAUGUCUGGGAAACUGCCCGAUGGAGGGGGAUAACUGCUGGAAACGGUAGCUAAUACCGCAUACCAUCGGAUGUGCCCAGAUGGGAUUAGCAAGUAGGUGGGGUAACGGCUCACCUAGGCGAAGAUCCCUAGCUGGUCUGCGCGGAUGACCAGCGACACUGGAAAUGAAACACGGUCCAGACUCCUACGGGAGGCAGCAGUGGGGAAUAUUGGACAAUGGGCGAAAGCCUGAUGCAGCCAUGCCGCGUGUAUGAAGAGGGCCUUCGGGUUGUAAAGUACUUUCAUCGAGGAGGCGUUACUCGCAGAAGAAGUACCGGCUAACUCCGUGCCAGCAGCCGCGGUAAUUC
rnacentral:rRNA from 1 species